ACUGCCGAGUCAGCGCUUCGCGA
rnacentral:miRNA from 15 species